rnacentral:rRNA from 1 species
GGUUAAGUUAGAAAGGGCGCACGGUGGAUGCCUUGACACUAGGAGUCGAUGAAGGACGGGACUAACGCCGAUAUGCUUCGGGGAGCUGUAAGUAAGCUUUGAUCCGAAGAUUUCCGAAUGGGGAAACCCACCAUACGUAAUGGUAUGGUAUCCUUAUCUGAAUACAUAGGGUAAGGAAGACAGAC